rnacentral:rRNA from 1 species
UACGUAGGGUGCAAGCGUUAAUCGGAAUUAUUGGGCGUAAAGGGCUCGUAGGCGGUCCGUCACGUCGGGAGUGAAAACUCAGGGCUCAACCCUGAGCGUGCUUCCGAUACGGGCGGACUAGAGGUAUGCAGGGGAGAACGGAAUUCCUGGUGUAGCGGUGGAAUGCGCAGAUAUCAGGAGGAACACCGGUGGCGAAGGCGGUUCUCUGGGCAUUACCUGACGCUGAGGAGCGAAAGCAUGGGGAGCGAACAGG